UACAGGGGGGGCAAGCGUUGUUCGGAAUUACGUGGGCGUAAAGGCUUGUAGGUGGCCAACUAAGUCACACGUGAAAUCCCCAGGCUUAACCUGGGAACUGCGUGUGAUACUGGAUGGCUUGAAUCCGGGAGAGGGAUGCGGAAUUCCAGGUGUAGCGGUGAAAUGCGUAGAUAUCUGGAGGAACACCGGAAGCGAAAGCGGGGCACUGGGCCAAUUCUGACGCUGAGGCGCGAAAGCGUGGGGAGCAAACAGG
rnacentral:rRNA from 1 species